UGCUAUGAUGUUGUAAUUUGCGUCCUAUCUGGUAUUCAGGGACGGUUUGCCUGCUGUCCAUAAACUGUUGCCAUUGAACUGACGACUCUUCCAAACUGAGCA